CUUAUGGAGAGUUUGAUCCUGGCUCAGGACGAACGCUGGCGGCGUGCCUAAUACAUGCAAGUCGAGCGAAUGACAGAGAAGCUUGCUUCUCUUGAUUUAGCGGCGGACGGGUGAGUAACACGUGGGCAACCUACCUUG
rnacentral:ncRNA from 1 species